CCUACGGGGGGCAGCAGUGGGGAAUAUUGGGCAAUGGGCGCAAGCCUGACCCAGCAACGCCGCGUGAAGGAUGAAGGCUUUCGGGUUGUAAACCUCUUUUCUCAGGGACGAAGAGUGAGACGGUACCUCAGGAAUAAGCCACCGCUAACUACGUGCCAGCAGCCGCGGUAAUACGUAGGUGGCAAGCGUUAUCCGGAUUUAUUGGGUGUAAAGGGCGUGUAGGCGGGAUCGCAAGUCAGAUGUGAAAACUCAGGGCUCAACCCUGAGCCUGCAUUUGAAACUGUGUUUCUUGAGUGCUGGAGAGGCAAUCGGAAUUCCGGGUGUAGCGGUGAAAUGCGUAGAUAUCCGGAGGAACACCAGUGGCGAAGGCGGAUUGCUGGACAGUAACUGACGCUGAGGCGCGAAAGCGUGGGUAGCAAACAGGAUUAGAUACCCUUGUAGUC
rnacentral:rRNA from 1 species